GGGGAUAUGGCGGAACUGGUAGACGCAACGGACUUAAAAUCCGUUGAUUCUUUGAAUCGUGAGGGUUCAAAUCCCUCUAUCCCCA
rnacentral:tRNA from 1 species